GAGGGGAAGAAGGAGAGGGAGACAGAAAUUCAAGCAGACUUCCCAGUGAGUACGGAGCCUGACGCAGGGCUCUAUCUCACCACCCUGAGAUCAGACCUGAACUGAAACCAAGAGUUGGAUACUUAACCGACUAUGCCCCCCAGGCACCCCUCACUUCUAGGAUAUGUCACUUAGGAUAUGUCAGAAAAGCCCAUCAGCCUGGUUCUUUUCAGAUACUUGCUUUGAGGGAAGCCAGCUACCAUGGGAAGUUAUGCCUUGCUGGAGGGGCUGGUUGAAGGUACAUUGGUUCACAGCCCCAGCUGAACAUGCAGCCAGCCUACAGCCAGCAUCAACCCUCACCCACAUUAAUGUGCCAUCCUGGGUAUCCAACUAGCAGCUGUAGUUAGUUGACAUCUGAUUGACAUGUUAUAAGAGACUCUAAUAAAGAGGUGCCUAGCAAGUACUUCCUGAGGUGAAAAAUUAUGAGCAAAAUCAACUGGCUAUUUAAGCCACUAAGUUUGGCAUGAAGCGUCCACUUAAAGAGCAACAGUAACCCAAACCAUUUGUCCAUCCAUUUAAAACACAGUGGGAAGCAGGGGGAAAGAGAUGCAUAGAUAAACAAGCUUAGGAUAGCAAGGUAGAAAAAGCUACAGUAUCUGAAUUUUGUUUUAUACAAUGUUCAUGUGUCCUAACCUCUCUGCUGUGCCAGUCUUCUCUGCAGGUAGUGUGGUUUUGAAGACCACAGAAGAAAGUAGGAGAUGGGGAGCCUGGAAUCAACAUAUACCUGUUCUGUCAGAGAGAUGAAGGAGCAACUGUGUCUGGUCAUAAUUGUAGCUGGCCAUUAGCUGGCUGAGUAGCUAGGAGUUUACCUGCUUUUCUUGUACAGACUACAGGAGGCCACAAUGGGACCAUAAUGCGUGUUGCUAGUAGGUGGCCAAUUUAGGGAGGACAUAGUUGUCAGUCUAGAGGUAAUACAAACUCUAUCUUAUUGAUAUUUAAAGUUCACUUGGUCUCUUUCUUUCUAAAGUAGCACUUUUAUUUAUGAUCAACACAUAUCCAUUUAUCUUAGGUGUAAUGUCUCAUAAGCAAAUUGUGUCUACAUUUCAGAUCUUGUUUUCUCUAGCAGACUUGAAUAAUCAUAAAUCAUCCAACAAACACAUUACAACAAGCCCCAACCAGCAAGCACUUAGAUCAGGUUUGUGAUAUCCCACUUACUGGCAAAAGCAAGUCACAUGGCCAAGCCCACAGUCCACGUGGGACAGAUCUACACAAGGGAAUGGAUACCAUAAGCCAUGAUUCAUUGGGACCACUACUGUAAUAAUCUACCACUAACACAGCUAGAAAACGGUUGAGCCAGUUGUCAAACUUUCAGCAAUCUAUUUCUGAAACCCACCCACAAAACUGGUGUCCUAAAGACUGUUAGGAAUGGGUUCUUAAUGUGUAGCUUUUCCAAACCUCACUUCCCAGGCCCCACUCCAAGUCCAAUGAGUCAGAAUCCCUUGGGGGUAAAAGAUAGAGAAGAGAAGGUGGUGGCAAUCCCAAGAAUUUGAGACUGAAGUAACUGCAGAGGAUUCCAACACACAAUGGGGAUGUAGAGGGUUUCAAAAACAAGAAAGACACAAGUCUCUAUCCCCAACUUCAUUUUCCGCAGAGUCCCCCCCCCCCUUUUUAAGUAAUCUCUACAUCCAAGGUGGGGCUUGAACUCACUAUCCCAAGAUCAGGAGUCACAUGCAUUUCCAACUGAGCCAGCCAGGCACCCCUCACAAAGCAUUCUUAACUGUCAUUAUGACACUAGAGAAGCUGCUCUGAAUUUUUUUUUUAAACGCUUUUCAUGUUUAAGUUAGAGCAGUGCUUCUCAAACUUCUAUGUGCGUCACUAUUAACUGGAGGGCUGCUUAAAACAGAGAUGACUGGGCCCAACCCCUAGUUUCUGAUUCAGGGAGUCUACAGGAGACUACCUCAAUCUGCACGCUUCACAAGUUCUGCUGUCUGGGAACCACACUUUGAGAACCUCUGGGUUAGAGCAGUAGGAUGACUUAGUGGUAACAUUCCUCCCUUGACUCACUUUUAUAUAUUGUACUUACAUGAUUCUGACACAUUUACUACAUACAAGGUCUUGGGCUGGUGCAGCAGCGGAUAAGAUAAGGGUAAGAUUUAGAUCUUGAUUGUGCUUGAGCAGAUUUACUCUCUAAGUGGAUCUACUCUCUAAGGCAGGAAGCCUAAGUGUAAUUAGGUUCAGAUAAAGGAGAGAUCGCCUUCCUUAGGAGGAGAUAAAGGAAAGGCUAGGGUAGGAGGAGGCCCUUUGAGCUUGGCCCUAAAAGAUGUCCAGGACCUGGACACGCUGGAAACGGUGGAGAAUCACAAAAAUUCUUUUCGCCUUGGCAAAGAGAAAAACAAAAACAAACCUUGGCAAGCACCCGGAAAAGAUCCGUGACAUCCUUGCCUCUCGCUCCAGCAUUAACAAUCUGCAAGCGGCUGGCAUCAGGACGAGGAAGCGUAUUUUCGGUGUGAAGGCCUCAGUCUCAAAUCCCUGUCCUUGCCUUCCCUUUGGAGCUCUCAGUGCAGGUGCCUCAAAGCCCAGAGUGCCUGGCCGAGGCCACGGUGGGCGCUUCAAUCCCCCAAAGCCUGAGCAGGACGCUGCCCCCCGGGGGGCGAGGCCCGGGCCGGGCGGGGGUGGGGUGGGGGGGGGAGCGCUGCAGGCUGGGGCACUGUUCAGAACAAGCCCCACGUUUAGGCCUGGUGCUAGGGACGGAGCGGCGGCAGCGGCACCACCGCCGAGCUAGAAGCCCGGAGCCGUUCCUCCCUGCUCCCAGCCUUGGACUUAAAGGUGGCGCCGGCGCAGGGGGCUGCGCGG
rnacentral:lncRNA from 1 species